rnacentral:SRP_RNA from 15 species
AAUCGCCUGCCAUGCCCAUAUUUCAAGCGGCUUAAACUUCUGACUGAACGCCUGCUCCUCCAAGCUUCGCAACGUGUGCAGAAACUCUUGAGGCUGGUCUGCCUGAGCUAUGGCU